GCUUUUAACCCUUAGCCAGAGACGAGGCCAAUGCGUUGCGCUGCCCUCCCAUCUUGCACUCAAAUUGUUAAACUGCUUGCUUUGGGUAACAUAAUUGUUAUCAAUCCUUUCCGUAAUUAGAAAUAUAAGAUGGAGAUCCUCUAAGGAAGCAUUAACCGUUGGAUCAUGUCAGUAUCAGCCUCUGGAUCCAUAAAUAAAAGCACUUCAUUUAUCUCUCGUUCCUAUCCAGCACGAGAGAGAGAGAGAGAACUCUAGAAAUAAGACUUUGAAUCUGCUUGUCUGGUUGGUGAGCUCAGCGGUCUCUUCCUUACAUAGGAGCUGCGAGAUUGAGUGAGAUCAUAACACAAUAACUCAUGAAUGGGAAAGACUCAUGUAACAGUGUACAAGAUUUAUAGCCUACGACACUUUAUAUCUCGCAUAACAGUUUUCCAGAUUCUUUCAUUGCUGUUGCAUUGCCACAAAUAGAUUUUUUUUAUUGAUUUAUUUUUUUUCUUUCAGAAAA